GUCACCUCCUCCUCUACGCUAAUUCCAUUCCCUCCGCUCUUCCAUUGCCUGGGUACUCUAAAGCCUCUCUUUAAUCUUUCCCAUGCGAAGGCACUAUCGUAAGGAUUGCUAGGGUUUGCAUCUAUGAAAGCAUUUGGCUUCUCAAAAUUUGGCAUCAGUUUUGAACAAGAGCCGAGGCAUGAUGCAGUGGGCGAAUCAAAUGGAACCUAAGUAAAGUUUGGAAGAAAGUAUUGCUCAUCGAUGCAUUUGGUUUUGAAGAAAUAAUAGGAUCUUCAAUGGUGCCACUGCUAAUACUAGAUUUGCUCAGUUCUUCACUAAACCAUUGAUGUCUGUUGAUACUACGACAAGGAAAAUUAAAGCUGUUGACUGUGGGGAGAAUUUUUUAGCCUCUAAACUGUGCUGGAUGCCAGAAGGACCUAGUGAGGAGGAAACUGUUCUCUGUGAAGUUAGUAGUCAACCAUGCUUGGUGGGAUCAUUGUUUGUAAUAUUCAACCUUUUUUCUAGAACAAUCUUAAUUAAUGUCAUUUUGAGCUUAUUAAUGCUAAAAGAAAUAAUUCUGAUCUUUAAUGCUUGUUCCUAUGUAUUUGAGUACUUUACUGAAGGAUCUUUCUCUGGAGCUAGUUGAAGUGCUUCUCAUCGGCGAUCCUGAUACUGAUAAGUUUGAAUUAUCUCCUGACGUUGCUCUGUGUUUUGAAUUCAAGUUCUUUAUCUUUGUUGCUGUGAUUUAACCAGUGUUCUGCUUACAUGGACGUUUGUGUCGGCUCCAAACGGUCUCGAAGGCUUUGAACAUUUCCCUGGUAAAGUUUGACUUUUUGAGCAGGUCGUUGUGUCUGCUUACAUUUAUAAUUUCAUAUGCAUCGCACAACUUCGAUAGCUUUCGUAAGAAGAGUUCUUUGAAAGCCUAAAAUAAUUUUUUAUUUUUUUCUUAAAAUAUUUUUAUUAAGAUUACCAUGUUUUUGUUGCUCAUUUUUAAUUCUCAUGUUUUAGGCAAAAAAAAAAAAGAAAAUCUCAUGUCUAUUUUUAUACUAUCAAGCAUAUAUUUUACAUCGCAAGAUUCUAUUCUAUUCUCAUCUUUAUUCCUAUUUUCAUUCUAUUAGAUAUCUUUUCGUUCCACCAAAUAUGGUCUUACAACAGGGCCUCACUCAUUUUGCCAAUUUCUAUUUUCUUUGAGAGAGUUUUGUAACGGCCUUUCUGGAUAUUUUAUUGUUAACCCAAAUCUAGCUUCUUCUUGUACUACUUUUCCCCAACUCCCAUGUUUAUUAAUAAAAGUUGAAGACAUUAAAUUUAUCUCAAUUUUAAAACUGGUAACAUUUGAGCCACAAAUUUAAUGUCUCGGUCUAAUUAUUUUAGUAAUUUAUCAAUUAUACUUACGCCAUAACUCAAGUUAAAGAAUUUAUAUUUACACCAACCAUUACUUUGGUGUUAACAUUGGUGCUUUUGAGGAGGCUUUAGACAUGGUGAGCCCACUGUUGUGGUCUCCUUCAUUUCCUAUUUCCUGUGAUAAUUUUCUUUCACAAGAUCUGAUGUUAGGCCAUGGUUUGUCUUCCAAAUUUGCUCAAUUCUUCAUCGAAUCAAUUAGAUCUGCUGAUGUUACCAUGAGGGAAAUGAUUCUAUAUGGCAUAUUGAAAUUUAAUUUAUAUGGUAUGUUGCAUUUUGAUAUUUUAAAGGGAAAAAAGGGUGAUUGGCUUACGGGGCGGAUCUUUUUUUGUGGGAUGGGUCUUGUAAAUAGGAGCCCCCUGUAUAAAAUGGGGCCUAAUGUGUUUCAUAAAAUAGAAAAAAAGGGGGGGUAUAUUUUUUAUUGGAAAGUCAGAGGAGUUAUUUGACAAUCUUUUCCUUUACAUGUGGUUUUCAUCCCUUUACCCCUUUAGGUCCCCUUCCUUUGAAUCUUUGGAUGACAUUAAUCUUGAAUCCUUUCUGGCGUAGCUUUUUCUCUCGUGCAGACAUGAUGCAAUGGGCCAAUCAAAUGGAAUCCAAGCAAAGUUUGGAUGAAUGUAUUCCUCAUCGGUGUAUUUGGCUUUGAAGAAAUAAUGGGAUCUUCAAUGGUGCCAAUACUAGGCACUAGCAGAUCAAGAUAGGAAGCUAUGUCAAAUUAAAGUCCUUGGGACGUAUGGGAUUUAUGUUGGAAAGAAACGAUUUAGAUUUUCUAUCAAAAAGUGAAGGGGAAGUUACUGUUCAUGUUGGAAAUACAGUCUUGUUAAUAAUAUCAUCUGCAAAUAGCAUCAGUUGCCUUUGUAGGGUUUGCUGUGAAGGGCGCUGCGAGUAGGCAAUGAAAGGUAGAACUGGAGGUAUUUUUGUCGAUGUAUUUGGCUUUGGAAAUCUUCAUUCUAUAUACCAAACAUGAAAGCAUGGCUUUCAUGUUGUAAAGAUCUGGGAUAUGGCCCGUGUCUUUCCAUAAAAAAUGGAUGAAUAUUUGCUUCUCAGGUUGGAAAUACUAGUAAAAUGACUAAUCCAUCCUAAUUUUUUAAUAUUUAGUUUAAGAUAUUUUCAUUAUUUUUUAUUAAGGUUAUUAUGGUCAGUUGCUCUUUUUAGUUCCCAUUACCUCUCUAUUUUUAUCCUAUCAAUCAAAUAUAUAAUAAAAAAUAUUUUUAUUUCUUUUCUUAUUUACCAAAUAUAUUUUAAAUUGUAAAAUUCUCUCCUAUUCUCGUCUCUAUUCUCAUUUUCGCUCCAUCAAAUGUGAUUUCUAGCCUUUGUGGCCUCGCUUGUUUGAUUGCUGUAUUUUUCGUGAUAUCUUAUCAUAUUAAAUCAUGUGCAUAAAAAAAUUAUAAAUCUUGAAUUCAUCUCAAUUUUAGAAACCAGUAACAAUGCAAAUUUAAUGGCCUAGAAUAUUUGUAUUAGUAAUUUAUGAAUUAUAUUUACAUUUUUUAUAUCAUCCAAUUAUAUUUACAUUUUUUAUCUACAAAAUUAAUGACGGUCUAAAUUUUUAAUUUCUUAAUUUCUUUAAGAAAAGUUGCGUGAAUGCUACUCUAUUCUAGUACUAUUUAAUUGUGAGAUGGUGCUUGGACCAUUAUUCCACUGUCGUCUGAGCAUUGGUUUUACAGCUAUGCGAAGAAACGGCAUCUGUUCUAAUACUACGUCUGAUGCGAGGUCAUCAUCGUCUGACAGUUUGAAGAAAUGGCAGGUUUUGCAGCGAUAGCCUCUUCGUCCCUCGUUUGUACAGUGCUGGGUUUUAUUAUUCAUCAACCUCCUUUCCACUCCUUUUUCUUUCCAUUCUAAUUUUCAAAGUGGUAACUGCUGCAACCUCUUUUGCUGUUUCUGUGACAUGUUUGUUUUGAUGCUUGUAAAUAGUUUCCCCGCUAAUACUGGCAAAGAUGGAAAAUGGCCCAUCUUAAGAUCCAUUUAGAAACUUCAUGCAUCCCAAACGUCGCAAAACCCUUGCUGCGGUUGACAAUGAUCAAUGAACAAUAUAUUCCCAACUAACAAAUCACGAACCUUGAGAGGGCUGAAUUCGUCUGAUCGGCACUGCUUGCGCGUGGUGAAAGUCGAAAGCACGAGUCGCACGCUACAUGACUGCAAUGCAGGGACUCGUGUCGCGGAUGUGAUGCAAUGGGCCAACUAAUGGAAUCUAAGCAAAGAUCAGAGGCUCUGUCGAAUUAAGGCCGAAGCUGUCAAUGGUAGCUUAGACUGGAGACACAAGUGGGAUAUAGUCUCGGCGGCUGCCGUGGGAUAAUCCGAAACCAUAAGGGCAACAUGACGCGGAGGUACCCUCUCCCCCACGCGAACAACAAUCAGAAAAGUUGCAGUUUUGUUCGAGGAUGAAAGAUUAAAUGAUGGAUUUUGAUUGUUCCUGUGCCUGAUAUUUGAGUACUAGAGGAAUUGUGGAGAAUGCAGAGUUGCUGAGUUGGAAGAGAAAUGAAAUGUUGCUGUCCACUUGGCUGCCAGCACGUUUCUCUCUUGGGAUUGAGAGGAAGUGACAGAAGAGAGAAGAGAGGAAAGAAGCGACUACAAAUUGACGAUGGCGGUGGGGAAGGAAGAGGUAGAUAUUUUUAAAGCUCGCUCGGACAAGAGGGAUUACAGAAGGAUCGUUCUUCGAAACUCACUUGAAGUGCUUCUCAUUGCGAUCCCAAUAUCGAUAUGGUUGAAUCUUCUCCCAAUGUUGUUUUCUAUUUUGAAUUCUAGUCUUUUUUAAAUUAUCUGUGUCUGUUAUUUUUCUAGUGUCGACUCCUUCAAUGAUCCAGACAGUCUUGAAGGCCUUGCCCAUUUCUUGGGUAUAGUUUGACUUUUUGAUGCGGUCAUCGGGUUUUGUUAAAUUUUUUAUACUUUGAACGACGUCGAUUGUGGGGGAAGGGUCUUUCCUUUUCGGUUCAAGAUGGGGGAAGUGGUGGGAAAAGGAGGUAAGGAAAAGGAGAGGCACCUUCCCCCCUCCCCACCGCCCACAAAAACGCCGGCAGCGGCUACUACUUUGAUAGCUUUUCAGUUUUGAAUAUUUUUAUUUUGCUUGCUGCGUUGGUAAAAACUCGGUGUUGUUGGAGAGUUGCAUGUUCCAAUAUACUUUAAAAUUAAAAUUACUUUCUGCAUGAAUAAUCAAUAAUUGCCGCCCAGCUAUUGUCAAGUUGACUUUAACAAUAGAUGGCUUCCCACCCAAAGAGAGACAAGAAAUAAGGAGAAUGAUAGACCUAAUCUGGUUAGCAAGAAUUCAAUUUAUAUUUUAACAUAGAUUGCUCACCUUAAGGGCGCUUUAUCUGAGGAUGUGAUGGGAAUGCUACUUAUUUAAAAAAUUAUAACCUGAUGAUCAGUUGAUUUUUGUUGC